rnacentral:rRNA from 1 species
UAGAGUUUGAUCCUGGCUCAGAUUGAACGCUGGCGGCAGGCUUAACACAUGCAAGUCGAACGAUGAUUUCCCAGCUUGCUGGGAAUGAUUAGUGGCGGACGGGUGAGUAACAUUUAGGAAUCUGCCUAGUAGUGGGGGAUAGCUCGGGGAAACUCGAAUUAAUACCGCAUACGACCUACGGGUGAAAGGGGGCGCAAGCUCUUGCUGUUAGAUGAGCCUAAAUCAGAUUAGCUAGUUGGUGGGGUAAAGGCCCACCAAGGCGACGAUCUGUAACUGGUCUGAGAGGAUGAUCAGUCACACCGGAACUGAGACACGGUCCGGACUCCUACGGGAGGCAGCAGUGGGGAAUAUUGGACAAUGGGGGCAACCCUGAUCCAGCCAUGCCGCGUGUGUGAAGAAGGCCUUUUGGUUGUAAAGCACUUUAAGCAGGGAGGGGAGGCUAAUGGUUAAUACCCAUUAGAUUAGACGUUACCUGCAGAAUAAGCACCGGCUAACUCUGUGCCAGCAGCCGCGGUAAUACAGAGGGUGCGAGCGUUAAUCGGAAUUACUGGGCGUAAAGCGAGUGUAGGUGGCUCAUUAAGUCACAUGUGAAAUCCCCGGGCUUAACCUGGGAACUGCAUGUGAUACUGGUGGUGCUAGAAUAUGUGAGAGGGAAGUAGAAUUCCAGGUGUAGCGGUGAAAUGCGUAGAGAUCUGGAGGAAUACCGAUGGCGAAGGCAGCUUCCUGGCAUAAUAUUGACACUGAGAUUCGAAAGCGUGGGUAGCAAACAGGAUUAGAUACCCUGGUAGUCCACGCCGUAAACGAUGUCUACUAGCCGUUGGGGUCCUUGAGACUUUAGUGGCGCAGUUAACGCGAUAAGUAGACCGCCUGGGGAGUACGGCCGCAAGGUUAAAACUCAAAUGAAUUGACGGGGGCCCGCACAAGCGGUGGAGCAUGUGGUUUAAUUC